rnacentral:rRNA from 1 species
GUCCACGCCCUAAACGAUGUCAACUAGUUGUCGGGGAGGGAGACCUCUUUGGUAACGCAGCUAACGCGCGAAGUUGACCGCCUGGGGAGUACGGUCGCAAGAUUAAAACUCAAAGGAAUUGACGGGGACCCGCACAAGCGGUGGAUGAUGUGGAUUAAUUCGAUGCAACGCGAAAACCUUACCUACCCUUGACAUGCCUGGAAGUGGCCAGAGAUGGCUUCGUGCCCGAAAGGGAGCCAGGACACAGGUGCUGCAUGGCUGUCGU